UUGCUCUGGCAGCACAUAUACUAAAAUUGGAAGGAUACAGAGAAGAUUAGCACAGCCCCUGUGCAAGGAUGACACACAAAUUCAUGAAGCUUCCAUAUUUUUA
rnacentral:snRNA from 1 species